ensembl:lincRNA
GCCAAUAGAAAUGUCAGUAUGGCCCAAGGGGUGCCUGAGAAUUUAAACCAUGACACUUGAAGCAGGUCUAGGAGAACCACCCUGGAGGAAUGGGCUGCAGGUGCAGCCUCUCCUGGAUUUACAGGCUCAUUCCCCAGUGAGCAUCAUCGUGGCUCCCACCUGGGUUCAUCUCUUGAAUCAGUUCUCUCUUCUGCAUGGGUAUCUGGGUAUCCCUUGCAGAGCACACACCUUUUUUAUUUUUUGACAUGAUUUCAGAUGUGCAGAAGAGGAGCACAAAAAUCUCAAGAUACCCUUCACCCAGAGUCCCCAAAAUUAAUAUUUACCAUAUCUCUCUCUCUCUCUCUCUCUCUCUCUCUCUCUCUCUCUCUCUCUCACACACACACACACACACACACACACAGAGGAAGUUGCAGACAAGAUGUGCCUUUACUAUUAAAUACUGCUGUGUGCAUUUCCUGAAAACAAAGGGAUUCUCUUCUGUAACCACAAUGCAAUUAACAAAACCAAGGAUGUGGCAUUGACAGAAUUCUAUUAGCUACAGACCUCAUUCAGAUUUUUUCAAUUGUCCUAAGACUGUUUGAGCCAAAAGAAUAUCCAAGAUCAUGCCUGGCAUUCAGUUGUCGCAUCUCUUUAGUCUCCAUUAAGCAGAAAAUCUUGAGUCUUUGUCUUUCAUGACAUUGAUGUUUAUUUUGUAGAAUGUGUCACCAUUUCAGGUUGUCCGAAUUGUCCUUGUGGUCAGAUUCACGUCAAGACUUGGGGCAACAACACCAGGAUGUAAUGUCCUCAUCACAUAUAUUGAUCACGGGGCCUGCGGUGUUGAUUUAGCCCGCUGCUGGUGGUAAUACUUGGGUUAUAGUUUUUGUACUGUAAAGUCACUAUUUCACCUUAUGUAGUAAGUUACAAGCAUCUUACUAGGAGAUCUUUAGUUAAUUUUCCAAAGAUUUAACGUGGAGCGCGGAACUCAAUCAAUGUUGAGCUCCUCUGAGAAUCUAGCCCAGCAAAUCCCAGUAGAGUACAGACCCGGGCUGUGGGGAAGGCACAGGAGAAAACCUUUGAGGGGCCUUCAGGCCGGAAGGAACUUUAGCUACUCACCAGGUCUGCCCCCUUUUUGGCAGAAAGAGCAACUGGGAUCUACAGGAGGGGCGUGCCUAGGGUACAAGGCAGAGAAGGGCACAGAUGGCCAACUUCACCCUCUUGUGCCCUGGGAUGAUAUAGGUUCCUCACAUCAUGAGAUUGCUGGUGAGACAGCAGCCACUGCUCCCAGGCCCGAGAACAGGGGCAGCACCAAAGCUGGUCAGUGUUUCCUCCUUACAGGUCUGAAUGUGCUGCAGAGGAGGGUGCUCCCCAGAGAUCACCCCUGUGACAGAUCGAUUGAAGGACCCCUGAAUGGCUGA